rnacentral:lncRNA from 1 species
GCCUGGGAGACCCUGACUCAAGGGGCAAAAAAAGAAGAAAUCUGGAGACUUCUCUCAGGGACAUACCUUAUAGCAGGCAACAUGUUGAAUCUCUCUUUUGACAAAGGUAGCCGAGCGGCACGUCCUAUCCUCGAACUUUGAGCAGCCGUUUCCCCUCCUCACAGUGACAUAGUCUAUCACUCCUUCCUAUACGGUUGCUUCUCCUCAAAGACGGCGGAAAUGGUUUGAGAAAGAUAGCAUUCCGAACUCAGACACAACAAGGUGUCAGUGGGUGGCAGCCGGUCCUGGC